rnacentral:lncRNA from 1 species
GUAAAUAAAAUACUAGAAAAAAAUAGGCUUUCUACAUAUUGCAUCGUCCAAAAAACGAUUUUUAUCAGCUGUAACAAAAAAAGAAACUUCAUAGAAGUCGAAAUAUGAAGAAAUAUAUAUGCCUAGAUACUUUAUUCUAUGGAUAAAGAUCUAAUUGAUAGAGGAAGCGCCGUAAAGAUCAAUUAGCGAGGUUUUGAGCCGAUACAAUAAAUAAUAAGUGAGUAUCUGCUUCAGUGGUUUAGUGAUUGAUGUGUGUGUUUGAGGUCUUGGGUUCAAGUCUCACUAUUGGAAAACAAACUAUUUUUUAUCCUAACC